GUCUCGGAAGGUUUCACAAUCACGCAAUUUCCAGCUGCUAUAGCACCUAUCAUAGGUAGCAGAGUCAGCACAAUAGGAUAAUUCCAGGCACCUAUGAUUAAUACAACUCCCUGCUUGAAUGAACGGAAGAGAAAAAUUUGUUCCUAUAUAACAGAAAAAAUCGUAUUCAAGUAACUACCUUCUCUGUUGCCGACCACUCUUUAAUAGUCCUGAGCAUUUGUUCGAUUUCUCCGAUUAAAAAAUUCAAUUCUACAGUAAACGUUUCGAACUUGUUCUGAAAAAGUGUGCGCAAAUGAAGAACAUUAUUAAAUACGAAAGAAAGACAUGGUCCCGGACACGCUUGUGGAUAUUCCGAUAAAGAUGUGGUUCGACGGGGUGGACGACGAUGACGACGACGACG
rnacentral:lncRNA from 13 species